rnacentral:lncRNA from 1 species
AAACAGACUGAGGGACCCGUACAUCUGCAUGCCUUCAACAGGCCUGGGUUCUCACCAGCACUCACUCAACCUUGGAUCCAGAGAACCCUUGAUGUUUUCCAGUCCCAGAAUCCUCCGGGACAGGCUGCCCAGAUGGCUGUUGGGAGUGAGCUGGCGAUCUUAAGCAGAGGCAGCCUAGGUAAGUCCCAUCUCUAUGUGACAAUGAUAUCAUUUGGCCAUCUGAAAGGUAUACUCAGAACAACAGGUGUUUCUUUAGUAUGCCCAGGCUCAACAUUUUCCUAAAACCUGGAUUGGGGUGGGGGGGUGGGGCGCGAUUUCCUUUCCUUCUUUAAUGUAUUUCACAGAAUUGUAUCUCUUUCAUUUCAUCUCUAAAAACUUCAAAGAAACAAAAUUAGCAGUGUCUGGAAGUGUCUGACACAUAAGAGGUAAUCAGUAAGUACUGAAUGAGUGAAUGAAAACGUUAAGGCAAAGUGGAAUGUAGCCUGGUGAAGAGUGGUGUAGUUGAGCAAACCCGGAUUGCUGGAAACCAUAGGCUGGACCCUGUACUCCAGCUCUAAGGCCUCGGUUUCCCUGUCUGUAACACUGGCCUGGGGGAACUGGACUUGAAUUGCCCUCCCAGUUCUGACACUCUCUAAACCUCUGAAAAACUGCAUUACAGCUUUAUUGUGGAUUAGAUCUGACUGGUGUCCUACUGAGAGCAAGGCCUGCUGCUCUGGAGACCAUCCAUUGUUUUUAAGCACCAGAGGUUAUUUAAUAGCAACUCUCCCAAAAUAUUUUUCAUGUCCUUCAUGAAAGAAGGUUCUGGAAGGUAGCCAUCAUCAAAAUAGGAAAUAAAGCCAGGCUGGCGUUCCAUUGAUCAGAUAACGCAGACUCAAAGUUCCUGUCACCCCAUAUGGUGAUUCUGGGAGCUUGACCAGAUUUCAGAAGUUUUAUUCAGAGCAGUAAGAAAUCAUCUUUGUGGCUUGCGGGAUUUAGUACCUAUUUCCCUCCUUUCUGCAGCUCAGGGCCCUGGGUGCCAAGAUAGUCUCCAGCGACUCUUCUCCCCUCAGGGCCUCAGUCUAGAGUCUGAGGAGAGCUCCCCCCAUUGACACCAUCAGGACCUCCAGCACUGGCUUAAGUGGCUUCCCUGUCCACUGCAGCAUUUGAUUUCAAGCUACAUGUAAGUUUGCCAUUUCCUUCUACUCUUAGAAGUGUCCUAAAGCACCAGUCCGGUGGAAUUCAGACUCCUUCACUAGCUUUCUGACUCUGUUCACUGCCUUGAUGCACCAGGAGGAUAAGGAACACCCGAUCGAGUCUGAGAGAAGAGACCUGACUGGCUUCAGCUGGGGCAUCUCCCCAAGCCUCAGUUUCCUCAGAUGUGGGGUCAGAACUGGAUGCUGGCUGGUUGCCUGGUCUCUUCCAGCCUCGUGAUAUGCCCCACCUCCAAUUCCCCCAGGCCCAGAGGCAGAGCCGGCCCUUCCCAUGAGGGAGUCAUAGCUUGUAUGUUAUGUAACUUCCAUAAAGGCAGGGGCUCUUCUUUUUCUUUUCUUUUUAGUGUUUUUAGGUACUCUAGGAAGAGAGAAACAUUUUUAUGAUCCCAGUAACCAAACAACAUAAUGAAAAUCAUGGCAACCAUCAGCCUAAUAAAACCCAUGGCAAAAGCCUCCACAUUCUCAAACAAGACCCUGGGAAUUCAAAGCUCUCUGAAGCCGUAAGUGGCCAGGGCCUUGCUGAAGGCCUUGGGACGCAGGCUGAUGGUUGAUGAAAGGAUUUUAACGCGCCACUGAAAUUCUCUUUUCCAAAAUAACCACUUUGAAACCUGUUAAUUACAGACACACAACCAGCCCCAGCCCCCCAACAGGACCUGGGGCUUUCACCAGGGAGAGCCCAGCUCCAAGGCUGGCUGCUUCCAUGACGCUACACAUGCUUUGUAUUGGGUGAAUUAGCUUCAGGAAGAGAAUCCAAAUUAAUUAAAACCACAUGGCCACUCCCCUCACCCCCAGCCUCCUACCCCACCUCCCUCCCCUGGAGACAGAGUCCAGUUCAGUCUAAUUUGGUCCAGUGUUUUUGUUUCCUAAAAUCUGUCUUGGGCUCUGGGCCAUUAAUAGGUUGCAGCUGAUUUUAAUCUACAUGAAUCAGAGACCUUGCUUCUUUGGUUUUAAGGAGAUUACAAAUUGUGUGUCCCACAAACUGGAUGGAGGGGAAAGGCCCUGGGGAGGGCGGGGGAAGGGGACAGAUCCUGGAAGUCACAAAAACUCUGCUCUCCAUUAAGUGGGUGGGUUUGCAUGAGCCUGUGAUCUCUCAGAGCUGGAGGAGGGGAGUGAAGUAAGAGGUGAGGGCUUUGCGGCUGUGACCCCAUGGUGGGAACACAGAACCUGGGCCUGUGUAAACAGAAUUAGAAUCAAGGAUCUGGAUGAGCACAGAGGUCUCUACUCACCUAUCGACAACACACCAAUUUCCCAAGUUUAUCCUGAGCACCUAUCCCGAGCUAGAAUAGGGGUUGGCAAACCAUGGCCCAUGGGCCAAAUUUUGUAAAUAAAAGUUUUAUUGCAACUCAGUCAUGUCCAUUCGUUUAUAUAUGGUCUAUGACUGCUUUAGUAGUUGUGACAGAGACCCUAUGGCCCACAAAGCUGACAAUAUAUACUCUGUGUCCCUUGCUGCAAAGGUUUGCUGACCCCUCUGCUGGAGAAGUACUGGGAGGUGUACUUUCAUGACAACAAAGGACAGACUUAGGAUCUGUUCCCACAUCCCACAUCUGAGGUCUAGUUCCUUCUAAACAUAGCUCUUCAGGAAAGUGGCUCUAUGUCAUUUAAACAAUGGCCGUGAAGAACAAUACGAACAAUCAUGCCACUCAGUUAAGUGUCCAAAGUAUUUGUCCUGACAAUUCUGUACUUCCAUUUCACAGGUGAAAAAACAGAGUCAUUGAGAGAAAGCAACUCACUGAAGGUCACGUGGGAAACAGCACAGAUAGGAAGAACCAGGC